rnacentral:tmRNA from 1 species
GGGGCCGAAAUGGUUUCGACCGAGCAUGUGAGGCACGUCGUGGCGCGUCCUGGAGCCUGCAGGCCAGGUAAAAAGCAGGCAAAACAAGAGUUGCCAACAGCAACUUCGCUCUCGCGGCCUAAUUAGGUCCGCAGGAACCCCCGGCCUCGGCCCGAAGGCUGGAAGGUUCCCAGAUUCUCGGGCUGGCUCGGCGGCGGUGUCCCGGGGACCCGAGCGAGAUCUCACUGGGACAUAGGGGUCAUGCCCAAGCCCACCGUCGGGCGUGGCGGCCCCGAAAUUCAAUGCGACGGACACACGCGUAGAGGCGACGUGCCGACUGCUCUGGGACGGGGGUUCGAUUCCCCCCGGCUCCAUUC